CGGUGGAUCACUCGGCUCGUGGGUCGAUGAAGAACGCAGA
rnacentral:rRNA from 1 species